rnacentral:rRNA from 1 species
UACGAAGGGGGCAAGCGUUGUUCGGAAUUACUGGGCGUAAAGGGCGCGUAGGCGGCCACCGCAAGUCAGUUGUGAAAUCUCUGGGCUUAACCCAGAAAGGUCAACUGAUACUGCGGGGCUAGAGUGCAGAAGGGGCAACUGGAAUUCUCGGUGUAGCGGUGAAAUGCGUAGAUAUCGAGAGGAACACCUGCGGCGAAGGCGGGUUGCUGGGCUGACACUGACGCUGAUGCGCGAAAGCUAGGGGAGCGAACGGG